CGCUCGCCUUCACAGGAAUGUCGUUGUAGGCGUCGAAGUUGAUUCCGCUAUUGUUGACUUCGUCAACGUCAUCCCCUACAUCCAGUUCGUCAAAUUUCUCCACAAUCGCGUCGGAUACAGACGAUCCAUAGUCUUCGUUACUCGUUCCGCGACCUCCUCCUCGAACUCUACCUCCACCUCCGCGCCCGCGUCCUCGAAUCAAAUAAUCCGGCUGGCAGGGUACAGAGCGGCCACCGUACUGGUACUGAGGGUAGGCAGGAGAGCCUGCGUACACAGAACUGGAGUACGCUGAGUAACCGUAAGCAACAUUCUGAGGAGUUGGAGCAAGGUUCCGUUGGUAUGGAGGAACAUAGUGACCUCGCUGAGGACGAGCUCGACCGCCUGCACCACCGCCCCUGUAGGAGUAGUUCGGUUGGCCGCCGCCGCCUCCGCCUCCACCUCCGGUACUGCUUCCUCC
rnacentral:lncRNA from 1 species